GGCCAGUGAUGACAAACUUAAACAACUUUUCUGACACCUCGUAUGAGAGCUAAGCUCCUGAUUCUAACGCUGAUCUGAGGCUC